CACGGGGGGAGCAAGCGUUGUUCGGAAUCACUGGGCGUAAAGGGCGUCUAGGCGGUCAGAUAAGUGGGAUGUGAAAUGCCCCGGCUCACCCGGGGACCGGCAUCCCAAACUGUCUGGCUUGAGUAUGGGAGAGGACGUGGGAAUUCCUGGUGUAGCGGUGAAAUGCGUAGAUAUCAGGAGGAACACCUAUGGCGAAGGCGGAUCUCUGGGCCUUACCUGACGCUCAGGCGCGAAAGCUAGGGGAGCGAACAGG
rnacentral:rRNA from 1 species